ensembl:misc_RNA Y_RNA Y RNA
GGCUGGUCCAAAGGUAGUGAGUUAUCUCAAUUCAUUGUUCACAGUCAGUACAGAUUGAACUCCUUGUUCUACUCUUUCCCCCUUCUCACUACUGCACUUGACUAGUCUAAA